UGGGGAAUAUUGGACAAUGGGCGCAAGCCUGAUCCAGCCAUGCCGCGUGAGUGAUGAAGGCCCUAGGGUUGUAAAGCUCUUUCACCGGUGAAGAUAAUGACGGUAACCGGAGAAGAAGCCCCGGCUAACUUCGUGCCAGCAGCCGCGGUAAUACGAAGGGGGCUAGCGUUGUUCGGAUUUACUGGGCGUAAAGCGCACGUAGGCGGACUUUUAAGUCAGGGGUGAAAUCCCGGGGCUCAACCCCGGAACUGCCUUUGAUACUGGAAGUCUUGAGUAUGGUAGAGGUGAGUGGAAUUCCGAGUGUAGAGGUGAAAUUCGUAGAUAUUCGGAGGACCCCCAGUGGCGAAGGCGGCUCACUGGACCAUUACUGACGCUGAGGUGCGAAAGCGUGGGGAGCAAACAGG
rnacentral:rRNA from 1 species